rnacentral:rRNA from 1 species
UAGUCAUAUGCUUGUCUCAAAGAUUAAGCCAUGCAUGUCUAAGAAUAAGCCCUUGAACGGUGAAUCUGCGAAUGGCUCAUUAAAUCAGUUAUUGUUUAUUUGAUGGUACCUUACUACUUGGAUAACCGUAGUAAUUCUAGAGCUAAUACAUGCGCCAAGCCCUGACUUCGGAAAGGGUGCAUUUAUUAGAUUCAAACCAUCGGCUCUUUUGGGUGUCAAAGCCCAAUUGUUUGGCCUUUGAUGGUGAGUCAUAAUAACUUAGCGAAUCGAAUGGCUUUUAUGCUGUCGAUGCUUCAUUCAAAUUUCUGCCCUAUCAGCUUUCGAUGGUAGGAUCUUGGCCUACCAUGGCUAUAACGGGUAACGGGGAAUUAGGGUUCGAUUCCGGAGAGGGAGCUUGAGAAACGGCUACCACAUCCAAGGAUGGCAGCAGGCGCGCAAAUUACCCAAUCCCGACACGGGGAGGUAGUGACAAUAAAUAACAAUGCUGGACUAUUUUUAGUCCGGCAAUUGGAAUGAGAGUGAAUUAAAUCUCCACUCGAGGAACCAUU